rnacentral:lncRNA from 1 species
GUCCUAGAAAUUGUAUAUAAAACUCAGCAAAUUGUAGAUAUGUGAUAUAGCAAGUCUUUACAAAGUAGAGACACAAUGUAUCAUAAACUUGUGUUGUAAGAGGCCAUGUGACCUUCUGCUUGUUUUUAUCCUGCCUUUCUUGUACAAGCAAUGAGGUUGUGAAUCAUUUACACAAGUGUGAAAGGUAGGUGUGAAGCAUUUACACAAGUGUGAAAGUUAGGGUGUAAAGCAUUUACACAAGUGUGAAAGG